CGUCGCAUUACGGCCUGACUAAAUGAUUCCUGUUUUACUUCAUUCAACAUCAGUGCUCCGUAGACUAAACACAACAAUGUGUACGACAAGUUUUACUUCGAAGAACCAAACUUAAAUUUUUGAAAGUCUAUCAGUGUGCAUCAAACAGUUUUUCCAAAGGACAAUCAGCUUCUGGAAUUCUAUCAACAACUUGAACAAGAUGAAGAUUUGGUAUAAAUAUGGAAGACAAAAUAGCAAAUGCUACAAGACCUGAAUGUAGGUGUUUAUUGUAUAAGCAUGGUAGUUUCCAGACAAGGCUUGCCAGUUGCUGGGCCACCUCCUGCAAUCCCAGACUGUGUAUAUUGUCUACAGAGUAAACUACUGAGUCUGAUUGGGAUCUAGGAAGAAAUAGUGAAAUAUUUUCAACAAUAAAACUGAAACAUUUUGGAAUGAAUUUGGAAAGAAGACCGACUGCAGACAAGGCAACAUGACCUGAAGACAAUGAUAAUCAAAGGAGGCAGAUAGAACUUUAUCAAACAUUGGAACGUCGAACGAAGCAGCUUUCAAACAUUGGAACGUCGAACGAAGCAACUUUCAAAUAGCUGAUAAAGAGUCAAAUUAAACAUAAAAUAGACAUUUGUCUGAUUAUAUAUUUAUUGGAUGAAUCAAUUAAAUAAAAUAUUUAGUAAAGAAACAACAGGCGAUUACUCAAAA